rnacentral:rRNA from 1 species
GACGAACGCUGGCGGCGUGCUUAACACAUGCAAGUCGAACGCUGAAGCUCAGCUUUUGUUGGGUGGAUGAGUGGCGAACGGGUGAGUAACACGUGAGUAACCUGCCUCCUUCUUUGGGAUAACGCCCGGAAACGGGUGCUAAUACUGGAUAUUCACUGGUCUUCGCAUGGGGGUUGGUGGAAAGGGUUUUUCUGGUGGGGGAUGGGCUCGCGGCCUAUCAGCUUGUUGGUGGGGUGAUGGCCUACCAAGGCUUUGACGGGUAGCCGGCCUGAGAGGGUGACCGGUCACAUUGGGACUGAGAUACGGCCCAGACUCCUACGGGAGGCAGCAGUGGGGAAUAUUGCACAAUGGGCGCAAGCCUGAUGCAGUGACGCCGCGUGAGGGAUGGAGGCCUUCGGGUUGUGAACCUCUUUCGCUCAUGGUCAAGCCGCAACAAUGGUUGUGGUGAGGGUAGUGGGUAAAGAAGCGCCGGCUAACUACGUG